rnacentral:rRNA from 1 species
GUGGCUACAUAAAACAUCUCGUUUAGUUUAUCCGCCGGCUCGCUUCGUCUCCGGUUCGCUUUGUCUCGUUGGCGGUCGUCGUCCUGCUUAGAAGGAGAGCUAGGGUGGUUGGUGAUGAUUAAUCAGAUGACGCAUGCGUGUAGUCUCGUCCUUCGUCUCGUGGCUCAAGGCUAAGGGCCGCUACCGCAGGAGCAGCAGCAGCAGCGCGCACAGGUGCCGCACCGCCGGCGUCGGGGCGGAGUGGAGCCUCGCGCGGCGGUUACCUCGGCACCGCCACUGCGACCCCUACGGCUCCUCCCUCCGCGCCCACUGAGACGCCCGCGUGCGCGCCGCCUCGUAGCGCCGGCGCCGCACCCGCCUCCGCCCACAGCGCCGCACCUCGUCCCCCUUCCUCCGCCGCUGCCACACGCGCCGCCGCCCCGUCCACCGCCCCUGCUCGCGGUGGCCCCGGCCCCAGCCCCACCCCCCGUCCUCGCAGCCCUGCCUGCACCGGGACCGGUGCCGGCGGCACCAGCGGUGCCCGUGCCGCUUGGCGCAGGAGAUGUUCGAGCGGGAGCACGGCGACGCGGUCAUGGGGAAGAAGGAGCGCGUCAAGCGGUGCAAGCCCAUGCGGGAGGGUAGGUGGGGGAGGGGGAAGAGGAGGUCGGCCGGUAACUGACUAACGAGUCUCGGCUAGGAGCGAGGCGAAGGGCGGCGGCGGCGGCGGCAGCAGCUAGGUCAGCUCCCGCCAAGGAGGAGCUCGUCGCCCCUCUAAGGUCGGUCGGUGGUGCUAGCUAGCUAGCUAUGCGCUCGACAGCACAGCGCUUAGUAAAAAGGAGGAGCCGGGCACGCCGCGCACGGAGCACCCGGGGAGCGCGCGCCCCGGGCGCACAGACCCUCUCAUGGCCCGGUUCUAAAAAAGACCACCAAGCAACCAUAAUAAUAAUAAUAAUAUAGACCUACCUGUACCAACGACGACGACCCAUGCCGACACGAGGAAAUGAAAGGGGAGACCACAGAUCACCUGCGGACUCGACAGGAAGGGUGAUAUGGACUAGCGGUUUUAGGUUCGUCACGGUGUGGGCUUUAAACCUGAGGUGAGCGGGACAAAAGGCGCACGCUGAACGACGGGCACCCCGGGCCCAGUCACGUCCGACCCGUACUAUCGAACGUAUUUUGGGCUGUGGGCUUCGGGCUUGGGCGUAUUGGACCUGGCCUUUUUGGGCUCGUGAUGUAUGUAGCCCAUCGUCAAAACCUUUCGGCCUAAAAUAAGCCCUUUACUAAUAACCUCGGGUGAUCUUUAUCUGGCGCGUCUACAGUAAGUGAGUAAGCGACGCCUUUACGACAAUAAAAACCGACGACCACAGUGAGCGAGUGUGUGUAUCCCACAUGGUGAACCGUGGCCUAUCUUACCCGAAGACAAAAAGAACCUGUGCGUAGCUCUCACACAGUAACAACAUCAUAAUCAAACUCUUUCUUGUGCCUCUUCCGUUUUAUGUCUUCCUGACGUCGGACUUCUUUGGGUUUAUUUUAACGAAACUAAAAUCUUUUUUUUUUACUCAGACAAAUCUUUACCUUCGGAAAAACGGCGAAGAGGUACCCAUCCCGGAUCUCCGACUUUUGAACCGCCACACGCCAACCAGAGUAGUCCCAAAUACGGAAAACGAGCAAUAACGUGUUGGUAGCACAAGUAAAGUGGUAACAAUAAAAACGUGUGAUUGUGGCAUACGAGGGGUUUAAAGAUAGUACUAUUUUACCUUUGUAUGUACACUUUUUUUCUCUGAAGACUAGCUUGUAAAGAACCUGCGAUUAUUGUGCCAUACCUAGAGAAGUGAAAACGUCGAUACACCAACAGAUAAAGAGUUAGGACAAAAAAGCAAUAGUUCGACCGGUACACUGCCUACUCUACGAAAGAGAGGGUGUCUUUGGAAAAUAUGAGUAUCCGGAGAACCUCCGAGAUCGUCGUCGUCGUCCCUACCGACGACCUCGAUAAGAAAGACCCCGAAGUUAUGGUUAUAAUAGUGUCUGGAUAGAACAUACCGUCGAACAAAACAGACGAUAAAAGGAUUUCUCCGCGAUAUCUGAAUUACUCUAUUGUCCUACGAAAGAUCACUGUCAACCACACCAUUAUUGACAUCGUUCACCUUGACCACGACCACGAAGUGAUGUUUCAUGACCUUAAAACACCGGUGACGAUUACUAUUAUAGUAAGAAAGACGUUCGACGACUGUGUCAUAACUUCCUCUAUUAUAAAUAUCUAUGACGAUUCUUAAACUUCCCACCGAGUCAACUAGAAAAACAGCAGUUGAGCAUACCGAGACGAAUAGUUCGAUAAAAAUACACAGAGAACAACGGCAAGAACAGUUUCAACACCCCAUAAGGUAAGGUAGAUGAUGGUUGUAUGUAGUCUCUACCACGUCGGACGAAAGAUUUAUACCCUUGAAAUAGACGACCGACACUUCCCCGUGGUGACGAUGGCGAUGAUAAACACAACCAAUUAUACCCUAAGUUAUAUAGAAACGAUGUGGAUAACUUCUAUAGAAGACGACAACGUAGAACAGAUCGUAGAUGUAAGAGUCAGGGCGACAGCUAGAUGCGGAAGUGGGAUGGCGACGGCAUGUAGCCGCACCGCAGCUGGGAGGGAGGGCCGAAGCAGCGUCCGCGUCGGCAGGAGUAGCGGCCGAAUGAUUACAUGUCGCAAGGCGUCGGUCUUCUAACGCCCCUUUCGGUCCUUACUGGUCGAUUAAUCGUACGUAAAGAACCAUAAGAUGAUGUAUUGGUACCGACCGAGGAGUAGGCCGGACCCGAACCUUCCGUCUCGUCUUCAAGAGGACUCUCGGUGGACUGGACUGACAACACACAACAUACCAUCGCACAGUAUAUAGGUUAUUUUCGCUCCCCUCCGGCGUACCCAUGUAUCUGUUCUUAUUUUUCCAACUCUAGUUCGUCACUUAUGGAGAGAAACACACGAGACAACAGAGGAUGACCCUGCCCGUGAGCGUCAAACACCUCCCCUCCUCUCGGUCCCUCUUCUCGUCCUCGUAGUAGUGGUGUCCCUGCUUCUCGUCCUUCCGGCCGCCGCCGCCGUCGCCCCCGUCGUGGUCGCCCUCCGUGUCCUCGCAGCGGCGGCGGCGGUCGUUUUAGUAGUCCUCGUGCGGGGACAGGUAGACCCGGGCAUGGCCGAAGAGAUCACCUACAAGUAGAGAAUGAGACACACACAAACCAACCGGACCCAAGGAACCUUCUCCUUCUUGAGAGCACACAACCCUCCUCCUUACACCUACAACGAAACACACCCUCUGUUGAGAAACUAAGAAACGAGGAGACGCCACUUAUAUAUAACCACACCAGCACCACCCACCGGGAGAAAGACCCUCCGGCUCCUACGGGCACCCCUGCCUGUCAACCUCUCCUGUACGUACGUACCCCCACCCGGCCGGUGACGGACGACGAAACAAAUAAAUGGUUAUUAUUGUGUUCGCCAUUAGGUCAGGGAGACU